UGGCUCUCGUAUCGAUGAAGAACGCAGCGAAAUGCGAUAAGUAAUGUGAAUUGCAGAAUUCAGUGAAUCAUCGAAUCUUUGAACGCACCUUGCACCCUUUGGUAUUCCGAAGGGUAUGCCUGUUUGAGUGUCAUUAAAUUCUCAAAAUCAUUAUGGUUUUGGAUAUGAGGAUUGCUGGCUUUAUUGUUGGCUUCCUUUAAAUGCAUGAGUGGCUUUGCCUGCAUAUUAUAAGAUUGUAAUCUGCAUCUUUUAAUUGCACUGACUUGCUGCUAUCUAACUGUUUCAACGAAACAAUUUGAACCAUUUGACUUCAAAUCAGGUAGGACUACCCGCUGA
rnacentral:misc_RNA from 1 species